UGGUUUGGAACUUCGGUAUUUUGC
rnacentral:piRNA from 1 species